UAAGAAGUACUCCUUGGUGGAGGACAGGUGU
rnacentral:piRNA from 1 species